GACGAACGCUGGCGGCGUGCUUAACACAUGCAAGUCGAACGGAAAGGCCCUGCUUUUGUGGGGUGCUCGAGUGGCGAACGGGUGAGUAACACUUGAGUAACCUGCCCUUGACUUUGGGAUAACUUCAGGAAACUGGGGCUAAUACCGGAUAGGAGCUCCUGCUGCAUGGUGGGGGUUGGAAAGUUUCGGCGGUUGGGGAUGGACUCGCGGCUUAUCAGCUUGUUGGUGGGGUAGUGGCUUACCAAGGCUUUGACGGGUAGCCGGCCUGAGAGGGUGACCGGCCACAUUGGGACUGAGAUACGGCACAGACUCCUACGGGAGGCAGCAGUGGGGAAUAUUGCACAAUGGGCGGAAGCCUGAUGCAGCAACGCAGCGUGCGGGAUGACGGCCUUCGGGUUGUAAACCGCUUUCGCCUGUGACGAAGCGUGAGUGACGGUAAUGGGUAAAGAAGCACCGGCUAACUACGUG
rnacentral:rRNA from 1 species